CAGCAGCCGCGGUAAUACGUAGGGUGCGAGCGUUAAUCGGAAUUACUGGGCGUAGAGCGUGCGCGGGCGGUUCGUUAAGACAGAUGUGAAAUCCCCGGGCUUAACCUGGGAACUGCAUUUGUGACUGGCGAGCUAGAGUAUGGCAGAGGGGGGUAGAAUUCCACGUGUAGCAGUGAAAUGCGUAGAGAUGUGGAGGAAUACCGAUGGCGAAGGCAGCCCCCUGGGCCAAUACUGACGCUCAUGCACGAAAGCGUGGGGAGCAAACAGGAUUAGAUACCCCUGUAGUCCCUGUCUCUUAUAA
rnacentral:rRNA from 1 species